GGGCCUUUAGCUCAGUUGGUAGAGCAUCGGACUUUUAAUCCGCUGGUCGCGGGUUCGAAUCCCGCAGGGCCCACCA
rnacentral:tRNA from 1 species